rnacentral:rRNA from 1 species
CGAUUCUGGCUCAGGAUGAACGCUGGCGGCGUGCUUAACACAUGCAAGUCGAACGGAGUUUAUAUGAAACCUAGUGAUUAUAAACUUAGUGGCGGACGGGUGAGUAACGCGUGGGUAACCUGCCUUAUACCGGGGGACAACAGUUAGAAAUGACUGCUAAUACCGCAUAAGCGCACGGAGUCGCAUGACUUUGUGUGAAAAACUCCGGUGGUAUAAGAUGGACCCGCGUCUGAUUAGCCAGUUGGUGAGGUAACGGCCCACCAAAGCAACGAUCAGUAGCCGGCCUGAGAGGGUGAACGGCCACAUUGGGACUGAGACACGGCCCAAACUCCUACGGGAGGCAGCAGUGGGGAAUAUUGGACAAUGGGGGAAACCCUGAUCCCAGCGACGCCGCGUGAGUGAAGAAGUAUUUCGGUAUGUAAAGCUCUAUCAGCAAGGAAGAUAAUGACGGUACUUGACUAAGAAGCCCCGGCUAACUACGUGCCAGCCGCCGC